rnacentral:rRNA from 1 species
GACGAACGCUGGCGGCGUUGCUUAACACAUGCAAGUCGAACGGAAAGGCCCUGCUUUUGUGGGGUGCUCGAGUGGCGAACGGGUGAGUAACACGUGAGUAACCUGCCCUUGACUUUGGGAUAACUUCAGGAAACUGGGGCUAAUACCGGAUAGGAGCUCCUGCUGCAUGGUGGGGGUUGGAAAGUUUCGGCGGUUGGGGAUGGACUCGCGGCUUAUCAGCUUGUUGGUGGGGUAGUGGCUUACCAAGGCUUUGACGGGUAGCCGGCCUGAGAGGGUGACCGGCCACAUUGGGACUGAGAUACGGCCCAGACUCCUACGGGAGGCAGCAGUGGGGAAUAUUGCACAAUGGGCGGAAGCCUGAUGCAGCAACGCCGCGUGCGGGAUGACGGCCUUCGGGUUGUAAACCGCUUUCGCCUGUGACGAAGCGUGAGUGACGGUAAUGGGUAAAGAAGCACCGGCUAACUACGUGCCAGCAGCCGCGGUGAUACGUAGGGUGCGAGCGUUGUCCGGAUUUAUUGGGCGUAAAGGGCUCGUAGGUGGUUGAUCGCGUCGGAAGUGUAAUCUUGGGGCUUAACCCUGAGCGUGCUUUCGAUACGGGUUGACUUGAGGAAGGUAGGGGAGAAUGGAAUUCCUGGUGGAGCGGUGGAAUGCGCAGAUAUCAGGAGGAACACCAGUGGCGAAGGCGGUUCUCUGGGCCUUUCCUGACGCUGAGGAGCGAAAGCGUGGGGAGCGAACAGGCUUAGAUACCCUGGUAGUCCACGCUGUAAACGGUGGGUACUAGGUGUGGGGUCCAUUCCACGGGUUCCGUGCCGUAGCUAACGCUUUAAGUACCCCGCCUGGGGAGUACGGCCGCAAGGCUAAAACUCAAAGGAAUUGACGGGGCCCCGCACAAGCGGCGGAGCAUGCGGAUUAAUUCGAUGCAACGCGUAGAACCUUACCUGGGUUUGACAUGGAUCGGGAGUGCUCAGAGAUGGGUGUGCCUCUUUUGGGGUCGGUUCACAGGUGGUGCAUGGCUGUCGUCAGCUCGUGUCGUGAGAUGUUGGGUUAAGUCCCGCAACGAGCGCAACCCUUGUUCACUGUUGCCAGCACGUUAUGGUGGGGACUCAGUGGAGACCGCCGGGGUCAACUCGGAGGAAGGUGGGGAUGACGUCAAGUCAUCAUGCCCCUUAUGUCCAGGGCUUCACGCAUGCUACAAUGGCUGGUACAGAGAGUGGCGAGCCUGUGAGGGUGAGCGAAUCUCGGAAAGCCGGUCUCAGUUCGGAUUGGGGUCUGCAACUCGACCUCAUGAAGUCGGAGUCGCUAGUAAUCGCAGAUCAGCAACGCUGCGGUGAAUACGUUCCCGGG